GAAAAUGAUGAUUGGAGCUUGCGUGGUUUGCUGAUUAGCAUUUCCAUGUUACCAGGACCUGACAACAUCCUGGUUGC
rnacentral:snoRNA from 1 species